GCUUAGAAAGUAUGAGUAAUUCAAUUUGUUUAUCUAAUUUUUGUGAGGAUGGUUAAUGAUUGUUGUUAUUGUUUUGAGGUCGUUGUUGGAGUAUGUAUAUGGAGAUAAUUUAUGAAGUUCGAGCUAUAGUUGGUUAUCAAGAAUGUCGAAUUUUGGGAAUUGUUUCAAGGUAUGUCCCUUUUCGCGGCCGAGUAAUGCAAGACAUGUCUUAAGUGGAUGAGCUAGAGGCUGCUAGGGAGCAUGAGGUGUGAUUGGAGUCCCCCGCAUACGAUGGUGCGCCCGCACAUGCUACUAGUGCGCCCGCACCAUCGACCAAAUUUGAAGCGAAAUACAGACGACCUUGGUGCGCCCGCACCAAGCACAAGGUGCGCCUGCACCAUCUACAGAGGAUUUCUACCUUGAGGCAAAAGAGUCAGGUGCGCCCGCACCUCCUUAUGGUGCGCCCCCACCAUGCGUUCCGGAAAGAAAAUCUCGAUCAUUAAACUAUAGUUUGGUUUUAGUUUUGGGAGUUACGCUUUAUUCUAGUUUCUACACAACAUUUUAUAGGGUUUUGUAUUAGAGAGAAAACACUUUAGUUUUGAUUGAGAAUUGAGAUUAGUGAUCAUAGUUUGUGAUUCCAUUGACAUUGAAGGUACUUUUCAUUCAAUUUAAUUCAAAGUUUCAGUUUUUAUUUCA